rnacentral:rRNA from 1 species
GACGAACGCUGGCGGCGUGCUUAACACAUGCAAGUCGAACGGAAAGGCCCUGCUUUUGUGGGGUGCUCGUGUGGCGAACGGGUGAGUAACACGUGAGUAACCUGCCCUUGACUUUGGGAUAACUUCAGGAAACUGGGGCUAAUACCGGAUAGGAGCUCCUGCUGCAUGGUGGGGGUUGGAAAGUUUCGGCGGUUGGGGAUGGACUCGCGGCUUAUCAGCUUGUUGGUGGGGUAGUGGCUUACCAAGGCUUUGACGGGUAGCCGGCCUGAGAGGGUGACCGGCCACAUUGGGACUGAGAUACGGCCCAGACUCCUACGGGAGGCAGCAGUGGGGAAUAUUGCACAAUGGGCGGAAGCCUGAUGCAGCAACGCCGCGUGCGGGAUGACGGCCUUCGGGUUGUAAACCGCUUUCGCCUGUGACGAAGCGUGAGUGACGGUAAUGGGUAAAGAAGCACCGGCUAACUACGUGCCAGCAGCCGCGGUGAUACGUAGGGUGCGAGCGUUGUCCGGAUUUAUUGGGCGUAAAGGGCUCGUAGGUGGUUGAUCGCGUCGGAAGUGUAAUCUUGGGGCUUAACCCUGAGCGUGCUUUCGAUACGGGUUGACUUGAGGAAGGUAGGGGAGAAUGGAAUUCCUGGUGGAGCGGUGGAAUGCGCAGAUAUCAGGAGGAACACCAGUGGCGAAGGCGGUUCUCUGGGCCUUUCCUGACGCUGAGGAGCGAAAGCGUGGGGAGCGAACAGGCUUAGAUACCCUGGUAGUCCACGCUGUAAACGGUGGGUACUAGGUGUGGGGUCCAUUCCACGGGUUCCGUGCCGUAGCUAACGCUUUAAGUACCCCGCCUGGGGAGUACGGCCGCAAGGCUAAAACUCAAAGGAAUUGACGGGGCCCCGCACAAGCGGCGGAGCAUGCGGAUUAAUUCGAUGCAACGCGUAGAACCUUACCUGGGUUUGACAUGGAUCGGGAGUGCUCAGAGAUGGGUGUGCCUCUUUUGGGGUCGGUUCACAGGUGGUGCAUGGCUGUCGUCAGCUCGUGUCGUGAGAUGUUGGGUUAAGUCCCGCAACGAGCGCAACCCUUGUUCACUGUUGCCAGCACGUUAUGGUGGGGACUCAGUGGAGACCGCCGGGGUCAACUCGGAGGAAGGUGGGGAUGACGUCAAGUCAUCAUGCCCCUUAUGUCCAGGGCUUCACGCAUGCUACAAUGGCUGGUACAGAGAGUGGCGAGCCUGUGAGGGUGAGCGAAUCCCGGAAAGCCGGUCUCAGUUCGGAUUGGGGUCUGCAACUCGACCUCAUGAAGUCGGAGUCGCUAGUAAUCGCAGAUCAGCAACGCUGCGGUGAAUACGUUCCCGGG